rnacentral:rRNA from 1 species
AUUGAACGCUGGCGGCAGGCCUAACACAUGCAAGUCGAGCGGGUGAAGAGAGCUUGCUCUCUGAUUCAGCGGCGGACGGGUGAGUAAUGCCUAGGAAUCUGCCUGGUAGUGGGGGACAACGUUUCGAAAGGAACGCUAAUACCGCAUACGUCCUACGGGAGAAAGUGGGGGAUCUUCGGACCUCACGCUAUCAGAUGAGCCUAGGUACGAUUAGCUAGUUGGUGAGGUAAAGGCUCACCAAGGCGACGAUCGUUAACUGGUCUGAGAGGAUGAUCAGUAACACUGGAACAGAAACACGGUCCAGACUCCUACGGGAGGCAGCAGUGGGGAAUAUUGGACAAUGGGCGAACGCCUGAUCCAGCCAUGCCGCGUGUGUGAAGAAGGUCUUCGGAUGGUAAAGCACUUUAAGUUGGGAGGAAGGGCAGUAAGUUAAUACCUCGCUGUUUUGACGUUACCGACAGAAUAAGCACCGGCUAACUUCGUGCCAGCCGCCGCCGUAACAC